rnacentral:lncRNA from 1 species
AUGCAGAAUAUGUUUUGAGUAAACCAGCCCAAAUCUCAUAGGGAGAAAAAAAAAAUCAACUAGAAUAACAUUGAUAGAAAUUGCACUUUAUUUUCUAGCUGAGCUGUUGGCAACAUGAAGAAACAGGAGAAAGCAAUGGGUUGUGGAAAGCUGACAAGAUCAUCCUUACCCAUCUUCUUUCUUUAAAAACUUUGGCCAAUUGUAUAAUGUUUAGUUGUUUACAUAUCAAAUGGUUUGCAAUUAUGUUUCCAUUAUAAAAAUAGAAAGGAGAG